AACUGUACACUAAAUCGUCCUUAUUAUUCCGUUCUGAUUACAUUAAUAGUACCUUAUCAUAUUGCGUCUUGGCUAGAUGUGCCUUUGCUUAAACAGAUAAAAUAUGAUUUCCGAAAGAUAUGAUUAAUAUUCCUAGAAACAAAAUGAUAAUUUUUGCAACGCGAUGAAAUGAUUAUGAAUUAUUUCGGAAAGAUACAGUCAAUGGUCAUAAAAAUAAAUUGAGAAUUUUUGCAACACGCCAAUUUUUCCAACCAUUUUUUCUGCUGUCACUUAACUGCACGUGGCCGGGUGCUAAAAAAUCUCCCGGCUUAGUUCUGGCCAAUUUGAAAAAAGGUCAGAGGUGGAAGGAGUCGGAACGGUCGGAACGCUUGGCGACGGAUCAGCUCUGUUGGUGAUGGUGAUGGUGCUGCAAGGCGAGGACGCGGAAGGCUGCGCUUUCGGUUGCGAGAACUGAAAACGGCAGGAGCGCAGUUCUAAAGAAAACGGGCAUGGAACGAAAUUGCGGUAAGUUCCAGUUCCUGACAGUGGAGUUGUCCGUUGUGACCAAUAUAGGUAGCCCCAACAUUUCCGUUGUAUCUCCGCAUCCAUCUCAGCAGCUCAGGAACGGAAGUAGUGGAACCGCCUGUGGAGGCCAAGAAAAGUCUUCGACUAAGUUUCGAGAGCAGUUUUAUUCUGAUGACGAAUAGCUUCAAAGCUCUUAGUCUGUCUUCUCAAAUUAUUGGCCUCUAUUCUUUUACUCCAAGUUUACACAAUCGAGUGAUUCCUAAGGUUUAAUCAACAGGGAUUCGACGGAACCACCGUAUGGACUGGAGUGUCCGCAGGGACAGCUAACUAUCUAACCCGAAGCUCAGGGUUAUAUGACUUCUAGAAUUUUGAAAAUUGUUAAACCAAUGAAUUUUAGGAAAGGUGUGUAAACUUACAUGGCACAAAUCGAACUUUGCGAUAAACAAAUAAACACGAAUCAAAGAAGUAAAAUAUCUUAAUUUUAGAAACUCUUCUAACAUCUAAACUGCGAAGUCACGCUAUCUAAAGUGGUAACUAUUUGACAUUUAAUUUCCGGUUUAAGCUACUCUCGACCUACUGUCAUCAUUAACAUCAUUAGGAAAU